CCGACGGGACGACCCGGCGGCCAUCCCGUCAUCGGGGACGACCCC
rnacentral:ncRNA from 1 species